rnacentral:lncRNA from 1 species
UGUGUGAAAUAUGGAUUAGUUGGAGAGAGGUCGGAUUUUGUCGCAAAUCGGCAAGCAAAUCGGAUGAAACGAAAUCGUAGUUUCGAUGCCCCCGUCGUCCUGAACGCGAUGGCGCUGUCGGAUUGAAAAUCCGACAGACGGAUUUUCGGGAAACGCGAAAUGUUCGCUGAGGGGUCGAAGGUGGCAAAUCGGAAACUUCGCAAAAGUCAUUGUAUUUUAUGUACCGAAUCGCUUGAGAUCGAGCGUGGUGGUGCGUAUGCGCAAGUUACGCGCAAUGGCAGGGACUAAAUUAUAAAAAUAGGGCUGAGGUGGGUUUUUCUGCAAUUGUGCAUAUAUUAUAGUGUUAGGUCACCAUGAAACCCUAACCCUGGGUCCCCUCCUCUUCCUUAACCGCCUCCCUCACGUUCCCCUGCUCUCCCUGCGCGCGCCCCGGCCACCUGAGCACGCCGCCGGCCGCCGGAGCUGGCCGCUCUUCCACCUCCUCCAUCACCUUCCACACUUUUCUUUCCACCCUCCUCAGCCACCGAGCUCGGGAAGGCACCUAAACCUAUGAAACCAUCU